AUUGAACGCUGGCGGCAUGCCUUACACAUGCAAGUCGAACGGUAACAGGUCUUCGGAUGCUGACGAGUGGCGAACGGGUGAGUAAUACAUCGGAACGUGCCCGAUCGUGGGGGAUAACGAAGCGAAAGCUUUGCUAAUACCGCAUAAGAUCUAAGGAUGAAAGCAGGGGACCGCAAGGCCUUGCGCGAACGGAGCGGCCGAUGGCAGAUUAGGUAGUUGGUCGGAUAAAAGCUUACCAAGCCGACGAUCUGUAGCUGGUCUGCGAGGACGACCAGCCACACUGGGACUGGGACACGACCCAGACUCCGACGGGAGGCAGCAGUGAGGAAUUUUGGACAAUGGGCGAAAGCCUGAUCCAGCCAUGCCGCGUGCAGGAUGAAGGCCUUCGGGUUGUAAACUGCUUUUGUACGGAACGAAAAGACUCUGGUUAAUACCUGGGGUCCAUGACGGUACCGUAAGAAUAAGCACCGGCUAACUACGUGCCAGCCGCCGCGGUAAAAC
rnacentral:rRNA from 1 species